GCUGUUCCUGCUGCCGAGUGAGCCC
rnacentral:piRNA from 1 species